CCCUUUGGUGCCUCUCUGGUGUCUAUAAAAGGGUCUAGGUGCUGGAUGUCCAAUGUAUUCAGAUUGAGUUUCUAUUUUCUCUCUGUUGCUCUCCCUUCUUUUUUACAACCUAUCUUAGUUUUAGGACAAGGCUUUAAGAUUUAAGACAAAGCCUUAUCUGAUCCAAACAAGGGUUGUGAGGGUCCUAAAAAAGAAGAAUCAGAAGUUCAGAAGAGAUUCUGAGAGGGUGGAGUCAGGUUCUUAAAAAAA
rnacentral:lncRNA from 1 species